rnacentral:rRNA from 1 species
CAAGUCGAGCGGCAGCGUGGUUUUGUAGCAAUACUUGACUGACGGCGAGCGGCGGACGGGUGAGUAAGACGUAGGAACUUGCCCUUCAGAGGGGGACAACCAAGGGAAACUUUGGCUAAUACCGCAUAGAUUCGAGAGAGGAAAGGUGCCCAUUUAGGGUAUCGCUGAAGGAGAGGCCUGCGACUGAUUAGCUAGUUGGUGGGGUAAAGGCCUACCAAGGCGAUGAUCAGUAACUGGUCUGAGAGGACGACCAGUCACACUGGGACUGAGACACGGCCCAGACUCCUACGGGAGGCAGCAGUGGGGAAUAUUGGACAAUGGGGGCAACCCUGAUCCAGCGAUGCCGCGUGGGUGAAGAAGGCCUUCGGGUUGUAAAGCCCUUUAGGUCAGGACGAAGGGUGUGGGGCGAACAGUCUUACACUUUGACGGUACUGACAGAAUAAGCGCCGGCAAACUCUGUGCCAGCAGCCGCGGUAAUACAGAGGGCGCGAGCGUUAAUCGGAAUUACUGGGCGUAAAGGGCGCGUAGGCGGUGACAUAGGUGUCAUGUGAAAGCCCCGGGCUUAACCUGGGAAGGGCAUGGCAAACGAUGUGACUGGAGUAUAAGAGAGGGUGGCGGAAUUUCCGGUGUAGCGGUGAAAUGCGUAGAGAUCGGAAGGAACGUCGAUGGCGAAGGCAGCCACCUGGCUUAAUACUGACGCUGAGGCGCGAAAGCGUGGGGAGCGAACAGGAUUAGAUACCCUGGUAGUCCACGCUGUAAACGAUGAGGACUAGAUGUUGGUUGGGGAACCAAUUAGUAUCGAAGCAACGCGAUAAGUCUUCCCCCUGGGAAGUACGGCCCCAAGGUUGAAACUCAAGGAAUUGACGGGGGCCCGCACAAGCGGUGGAGCAUGUGGUUUAAUUC